rnacentral:rRNA from 1 species
UAGGGAAUCUUCCGCAAUGGACGCAAGUCUGACGGAGCAACGCCGCGUGAGUGAAGAAGGAUUUCGGUUCGUAAAACUCUGUUGUUAGAGAAGAACAGCGCAUAGAGUAACUGUUAUGCGUGUGACGGUAUCUAACCAGAAAGCCACGGCUAACUACGUGCCAGCAGCCGCGGUAAUACGUAGGUGGCAAGCGUUGUCCGGAUUUAUUGGGCGUAAAGCGAGCGCAGGCGGUCAAUUAAGUCUGAUGUGAAAGCCCCCGGCUCAACCGGGGAGGGUCAUUGGAAACUGGUUGACUUGAGUGCAGAAGAGGAGAGUGGAAUUCCAUGUGUAGCGGUGAAAUGCGUAGAUAUAUGGAGGAACACCAGUGGCGAAGACGACUCUCUGGUCUGUAACUGACGCUGAGGCUCGAAAGCGUGGGUAGCAAACAGG